AUGCAAGGGAGCAAAGCUGUCUGCAAAAGGGGUUCCUUAUGGGACCUUUCACAAUAGUGUGCAUGCACACACACUCACACACUUGCAUGCUCACACAUACACUCAGUCAGACCUGACCUCGAGAUUCAAGGACACACGCACACACUCACAUCCUCAUUUUGUCAUUUACACGCCCAGACACACACCUGCUCAAACUGGUUUAUACACUCAGUAAUGACGCUGCCCCCCACCCGGGCACCAGCACACACAGACUCCUACUUACUCACACCCAUACACAAACAUGUACAUGUACACACACUCACUGGCUUUCUUAAAGCCCUACUUUCACUCACUCAUCCUUAGGCACGCAGUCCCCUCAUGCACCCCAGACACACCUCCUGGGACACAUCACCUUCCUGCAGGCCGAGCCCCAGGGAGCCGCCGUCGGCUGUGUUUUGAGGAGUGGGGACAGAAUGUUUGCUCCUGACCCCAGUUUACCCUGAAUCUUGACUCUGACCUAGGACAGCCUCAAAGCCGCCUGACAUGGGCCAACUGGGGAGGGCCUGCUCCGUGAGCAGCGGGUGCAUGUUGCUCACAUCAGCCCUGAGUGUGCUGCCUCGGGGCACGUCUGCCUGGCUCAUCAGUGCCCAGGGCACCCGCCCACUUCCUCCCAAUCCGAAGGCAGGCCAGCCCCGAUGACAUCAGGCGGUCUCUGGGCCUGCCUGGCACCCAGCACAGAGGAAGGAAGCAAGCUGCCUCGGCUGUGUGGCCGACUGAGGAGCCCAGGACUUGCCAGGGGCUCUGUGACCCAGGUCCACUGUGGCUGAGCUGCCUGUCCCCAAACCCACAGGGGCACUGUGUGACAUGGACUGGUUUUCAUACCCAGAAAUGACCAUCACAGUGACUCAUAUUUCCUGAGCACCUACUGUGUGCCAAGCACGGCUCCAGCUCAUCAUGACUCUUCAUUAAUCUUCAAACCAACUCUAUGGUAACCCUAUACAUCAUCCUAGGUGUACAUAUAAAGACACAUAGAAAGGUUAGGGGACUAGCUCAAAGAACAUGAUUUGACCCCGGUGAUCUGGCUCCAGACCCCUACCCUCAAUCACCCCCUCUGCAGCUUGUUGGUUUGUGGCUUGUUUUGGUGAGUCUCUGAUAGUUUUGACCUCUGCACCUCUCACCUCUCUGAAUCCUGGCAACAAUCUCAGGAGCAGGGUGCCAGGUUUAGGCCUGCUUAACAGUGAGGAAAUGACCCGUCUGAGACAGACAGCAAGGAAGCGGCAGAGCUGUUUGUCCCCGGGUCCCAGGGCCCUUUCUGCGAUGCCUGGUCUUCUCCCUCCCGGGCCAGAGGUGCUGGCAGGACCGGAGACGGGGAAAGAGAGCGGUGGGCCUUUGGUGGCCAUAGAGCAGUCAGAAACGUAAUCAGACAUUUAUGUCAACAAAACAACAAACAUUUUGCUUCUUAAAACAAGUGGGAAACAGCGAGCAUACAAGAGAAUACACAGCCUCACAACAAGCUUGCAAAGCAGAUGCUGUUGAAUUCCAUUUCACAGACGAAGAAACCGAGGCCUUCAAUACCAUCCCGGCGCUCGAAAUUUCCAACGCACAUCGCCUGCCAGGAGUCUCACCUGAAUGCAGGGUUGAAUAUCCAGCUGUGGCUCGACACGCCAAAUGGGCAACUCAGAGUUCCAGCCGUCUGGCCCGGAAUCAGCGGCGGUUCCAUCAGCGGGGAGGUGAAAAUGAAACUGUGUUCCCAGCCCCGGAAAGCAAUCUGCUAUUCAGCAGGAAGAGAUCAAAGGUUAAUGACAUGGAGUUGGGCAAAGGCUGCCGCUGAGGCUCUGAGCAUUAUCAGGAGGCGGGAACAAAGGAUGGUUGUUAAAUGUAAUUCAUGAAACUGCUUGCCAGAACAUUAGGCACAUCCUUCGAAAGCACAAGGGAACUUAAAAAAAGAAAGAAAGA